rnacentral:lncRNA from 1 species
AUAAAACCGCUAUCUCAUUUAGCCUUACAUGUAUAUGGUAAUAAGACUAUUUUUAUAACAAACAAAAAAAGAAGUUGCAUGCAAUUAUGUGAAGGAUAUACUCAGUUGAAAAUAAAAACAUUUAGAAUUAAAAACUGCUGCUAUGAUUCAGAAAAUAUAGAUAUUUAAUUCCCCAAAAUGGCGGGGAAAACUGACUCGGACUUUAAUCUUAUACAUUUGUAUUUGCAUUAGUUUUAUUUGGGUCCAUGACCGAAAGAAAAGAAAUCUAGAAUCUGCUUUCAUUUUGGUACAUGUACUUUUUAUGAGCUUUUAAAGUGUUAUAAGAAAGCAAACUUAAAUAGGUAUCAUGGGGUAAAAUAUGUAACCCUGUAUCAUACGGAAAAAAAUCAAAGGGCCGAACAUCUGUCAAAAAAAUCUAAACCUGACCAAAGUACGUCCCUAAAUUGAAUAACAAAUAUGAUACUAAAAGACACUUGUUUAAAUUGAAUUUGGAUUUUAUUUUUGCUGUUCAUGAUAUUCAGUCUUUAUAAAUAUAAUCAUAUCUGGCAAAAUCUAUAAACUUACAUCAUAAAUGGAUAUACAAGUAUAUAUGAAUUUGAUUAUAUGUCAUUUUUUGUAUUACAUUAUGACACCAGAAUCUAAAAUUCCCACUUGAAGCUGAGAUACUGGAAGUUUUCAAUUAGUAAAAAUUCAAUUGAAAUGAAUGGAUAUAGUAAAAUUUAUUUAAUAUUUAAUACAUUUUGUACAAUUAUGUAUAUUCAUUGUUCAUACUAUCAUCUAAAUUAAAUCUAUUUGCAUUUUAUUUUAUUGUUGUCUAGGAACGAAAGGAUAGCAUGUGUCAAUUCAUGACACAAAAUCACUAAACGUACAUGUAUAUAAAAAAACGAAAAAAAAAAACCCAGAAAUUGCGUAUAUGUUAAUUACAAUUUAUCCUCUCAAAGACACAUAGAGGGCUGAAAUAUGGAAGCCCAACUUAUGAUUGGUAGAGCACGUGCUUAUAUCAACAAAAUUUGAUUAUGAAUUUGACAAAGAUCUGUGCAGGAUAUUUUCGUUUUUUGAUAGGA